GCAAACUUGGUCAUUUAGAGGAAGUAAAAGUCGUAACAAGGUUUCCGUAGGUGAACCUGCGGAAGGAUCAUUAACGAGUUUUGAAAGCGGGAGAGUCUGUUGCUGGCAUGUGUUCUUCGCAUGCAUGUGCACGGCACCCGUAACUCAAUCCACUCAACCCCUGUGCACUUUAUAUGGGAGCUAGUAGUCAGUGGUUGUUCCGUUAUGUCUUAUGUUAGUUAGUAGUCGAAAGGCGAACACUUGAGAACAGACGGAGUAAUUGCCGGCGAACACUUCAAUAUUAUUAUAAACCCAUUCUAUUGUCAUGUUGAAUGUAUAGCUCCUUGUGGGCGAAAUAAAAUACAACUUUCAACAACGGAUCUCUUGGCUCUCGCAUCGAUGAAGAACGCAGC
rnacentral:misc_RNA from 1 species